UACGUAGGGUGCAAGCGUUAAUCGGAAUUACUGGGCGUAAAGCGUGCGCAGGCGGUUGUGCAAGACAGAUGUGAAAUCCCCGGGCUCAACCUGGGAACUGCAUUUGUGACUGCACAGCUUGAGUGCGGCAGAGGGGGAUGGAAUUCCGCGUGUAGCAGUGAAAUGCGUAGAUAUGCGGAGGAACACCGAUGGCGAAGGCAAUCCCCUGGGCCUGCACUGACGCUCAUGCACGAAAGCGUGGGUAGCAAACAGG
rnacentral:rRNA from 1 species